rnacentral:rRNA from 1 species
UACGUAGGGUGCGAGCGUUGUCCGGAAUUAUUGGGCGUAAAGAGCUUGUAGGCGGUUUGUCGCGUCUGCUGUGAAAUCUCAAGGCUCAACCUUGAGCUUGCAGUGGGUACGGGCAGACUAGAGUGUGGUAGGGGAGACUGGAAUUCCUGGUGUAGCGGUGAAAUGCGCAGAUAUCAGGAGGAAUACCUAUGGCGAAAGCAGGUAUCUGGGCCAUCACUGACGCUGAGCUGCGAAAGCUAGGGGAGCAAACAGG